rnacentral:rRNA from 1 species
GUGUAAGUGUUUAAGGGCGCAUGGUGGAUGCCUUGGCACUGGGAGCCGAUGAAGGACGUGGGAGGCUGCGUUAUGCCUCGGGGAGCUGUCAACCGAGCGUGGAUCCGAGGAUGUCCGAAUGGGGAAACCCGGCACGAGUGAUGUCGUGUCACCCAACGCUGAAUGUAUAGGCGUUGGGGGGGAACGCGGGGAAGUGAAACAUCUCAGUACCCGUAGGAAGAGAAAACAAAAGUGAUUCCGUGAGUAGUGGCGAGCGAAAGCGGAGGAUGGCUAAACCGUGUGCAUGUGAUACCCGGCGGGGGUUGUGUGUGCGGUGUUGUGGGGCGUUUCUUUCUUCUGGCCGCCGUCAGGAGCAGAAGUGAUAAACCGUUGGGUUAGGUGAAGUGGCCUGGGAUGGUCUGCCGUAGUGGGUGAGAGCCCCGUAACCGAAAACCUCAGCGGCUUCUGGGAAAUGUUUUCCCCGAGUAGCAGCGGGCCCGUGGAAUCUGCUGUGAAUCUGCCGGGACCACCCGGUAAGCCUGAAUACUUCUCAGUGACCGAUAGCGGAUCAGUACCGUGAGGGAAUGGUGAAAAGUACCCCGGGAGGGGAGUGAAAGAGUACCUGAAACCGUGUGCCUACAAUCCGUCAAAGCCCUCGACUUUGUUGUGGGGUGAUGGCGUGCCUUUUGAAGAAUGAGCCUGCGAGUCAGGGACAUGUCGCGAGGUUAACCCGGGAGGGGUAGCCGCAGCGAAAGCGAGUCUGAAUAGGGCGUAUCACGUCAACAGUGGCGUGUGUAGUGGUGUGUUCUGGACCCGAAGCGGAGUGAUCUACCCAUGGCCAGGGUGAAGCGCGGGUAAGACCGCGUGGAGGCCCGAACCCACUUAGGUUGAAGACUGAGGGGAUGAGCUGUGGGUAGGGGUGAAAGGCCAAUCAAACUCCGUGAUAGCUGGUUCUCCCCGAAAUGCAUUUAGGUGCAGCGUCGCAUGGUUCUUGCUGGAGGUAGAGCUACUGGAUGGCCGAUGGGCCCUACUAGGUUACUGACGUCAGCCAAACUCCGAAUGCCGGCAAGGUGUAGUGCGGCAGUGAGACGGCGGGGGAUAAGCUCCGUGCGUCGAGAGGGAAACAGCCCAGAUCGCCGGCUAAGGCCCCUAAGCGUGUGCUAAGUGGAAAAGGAUGUGCAGUCGCGAAGACAACCAGGAGGUUGGCUUAGAAGCAGCCACCCUUGAAAGAGUGCGUAAUAGCUCACUGGUCAAGUGAUUGUGCGCCGAUAAUGUAGCGGGGCUCAAGCACACCGCCGAAGCCGCGGCAGCAACACUUUUGGUGUUGUUGGGUAGGGGAGCGUCCUGCAUCCGGUGAAGCCACAGAGUGAUCUAGUGGUGGAGGGUGUGGGAGUGAGAAUGCAGGCAUGAGUAGCGAUAAGGCAAGUGAGAACCUUGCCCGCCGGAAGACCAAGGGUUCCUGGGCCAGGCCAGUCCGCCCAGGGUGAGUCGGGACCUAAGGCGAGGCCGACAGGCGUAGUCGAUGGACAACGGGUUGAUAUUCCCGUACCCGUGUAUGAGCGUCCCUGACGAAUCAGCGGUACUAACCGCCCAAAACCAUGACCACCCAAGACCUUCGGGUCGCGGGGGUUGUGGGGCUGCGCGGGACCUUCGUUGGUAGUAGUCAAGCGAUGGGGUGACGCAGGAAGGUAGCCGUACCAGUCAGUGGUAAUACUGGGGCAAACCUGUAGGGCGAGUGAUAGGCAAAUCCGUCACUCAUGUGCCUGAGAGGUGAUGCAUAGCCGAGUGAGGCGAAUUCGGUGAUCCUAUGCUGUCGAGAAAAGCCUCUAGCGAGCGCAUACACGGCCCGUACCCCAAACCAACACAGGUGGUCAGGUAGAGAAUACCAAGGCGUACGAGUGAACUAUGGUUAAGGAACUCGGCAAAAUGCCCCCGUAACUUCGGGAGAAGGGGGACCCCCACACCGUCAACACCUUCGCGGUGGGCAGCGGGAGGGGGUGGCACAAACCAGUGAGAAGCGACUGUUUACUAAAAACACAGGUCCGUGCGAAGUCGCAAGACGAGGUAUACGGACUGACGCCUGCCCGGUGCUGGAAGGUUAAGAGGACCCGUUAACCCCUUCGGGGGUGAAGCGGAGAAUUUAAGCCCCAGUAAACGGCGGUGGUAACUAUAACCAUCCUAAGGUAGCGAAAUUCCUUGUCGGGUAAGUUCCGACCUGCACGAAUGGCGUAACGACUUCUCAGCUGUCUCAACCAUAGACUCGGCGAAAUUGCAUUACGAGUAAAGAUGCUCGUUACGCGCGGCAGGACGAAAAGACCCCGGGACCUUCACUACAACUUGGUAUUGGUGCUCGAUACGGUUUGUGUAGGAUAGGUGGGAGACUGUGAAACACAGACGCCAGUUUGUGUGGAGUCGUUGUUGAAAUACCACUCUGAUCGUAUUGGGCCUCUAACCUCGAACCGUCUAUCCGGUUCAGGGACAGUGCCUGGCGGGUAGUUUAACUGGGGCGGUUGCCUCCUAAAAAGUAACGGAGGCGCCCAAAGGUUCCCUCAACCUGGACGGCAAUCAGGUGUUGAGUGUAAGUGCACAAGGGAGCUUGACUGCGAGACGAACAUGUCAAGCAGGGACGAAAGUCGGGACUAGUGAUCCGGCACCCCCGAGUGGAAGGGGUGUCGCUCAACGGAUAAAAGGUACCCCGGGGAUAACAGGCUGAUCUUCCCCAAGAGUCCAUAUCGACGGGAUGGUUUGGCACCUCGAUGUCGGCUCGUCGCAUCCUGGGGCUGGAGCAGGUCCCAAGGGUUGGGCUGUUCGCCCAUUAAAGCGGCACGCGAGCUGGGUUUAGAACGUCGUGAGACAGUUCGGUCUCUAUCCGCCGCGCGCGUCAGAAGCUUGAGGAAACCUGUCCCUAGUACGAGAGGACCGGGACGGACGAACCUCUGGUACACCAGUUGUCCCACCAGGGGCACCGCUGGAUAGCCACGUUCGGACAGGAUAACCGCUGAAAGCAUCUAAGCGGGAAACCCCCUCCAAGACCAGGCUUCUCACCCAUACAAGUGGGAUAAGGCCCCCCGCAGACCACGGGAUCGAUAGACCAGACCUACACGCCCAGCAAUGGGUUCAGGGAACUGGCACUAACCGGCCGAAAACUUACACACAA